rnacentral:rRNA from 1 species
UUUAGUGGCGGACGGGUGAGUAACACGUGAGCAACCUGCCUUCGAGAGGGGAAUAACGGCUGGAAACGGUCGCUAAUACCGCAUAACAUACAGGAGGGACAUCCCUUUUUGUAUCAAAGAUUUAUCGCUCGAAGAUGGGCUCGCGUCCGAUUAGGUAGUUGGUGAGGUAACGGCCCACCAAGCCGACGAUCGGUAGCCGGACUGAGAGGUUGAACGGCCACAUUGGGACUGAGACACGGCCCAGACUCCUACGGAAGGCAGCAG